rnacentral:rRNA from 1 species
UACGGGGGGGGCAAGCGUUGUUCGGAAUUACUGGGCGUAAAGGGCUCGUAGGCGGCCAACUAAGUCGGAUGUGAAAUCCCCAGGCUUAACCUGGGAACUGCAUCCGAUACUGGAUGGCUUGAAUCCGGGAGAGGGAUGCAGAAUUCCAGGUGUAGCGGUGAAAUGCGUAGAUAUCAGGAGGAACACCAAUGGCGAAGGCAGCUCGCUGGGACGGUACUGACGCUGAGACGCGAAAGCGUGGGGAGCAAACAGG